GACGAACGCUGGCGGCGUGCCUAAUACAUGCAAGUAGAACGCACAGUUUAUACCGUAGCUUGCUACACCAUAAACUGUGAGUUGCGAACGGGUGAGUAACGCGUAGGUAACCUGCCUGGUAGCGGGGGAUAACUAUUGGAAACGAUAGCUAAUACCGCAUAAUAUUGAUUAUUGCAUGAUAAUUGAUUGAAGGAUGCUAUUGCAUCACUACCAGAUGGACCUGCGUUGUAUUAGCUAGUAGGUGAGGUAACGGCUCACCUAGGCGACGAUACAUAGCCGACCUGAGAGGGUGAUCGGCCACACUGGGACUGAGACACGGCCCAGACUCCUACGGGAGGCAGCAGUAGGGAAUCUUCGGCAAUAGACGAAAGUCUGACCGAGCAACGCCGCGUGAGUGAAGAAGGUUUUCGGAUCGUAAAGCUCUGUUGUAAGAGAAGAACGGGUGUGAGAGUGGAAAGUUCACACUGUGACGGUAUCUUACCAGAAAGGGACGGCUAACUACGUG
rnacentral:rRNA from 1 species